rnacentral:rRNA from 1 species
AAAACGACUUUUGGCAACGGAUAUUUAGGCUUUUGCAUCGAUGAAGGACGUAGCGAAAUGCGAUACUUGGUGUGAAUUGCAGAAUCCCGUGAAUCAUCGAGUUUUUGAACCCAAGUUGCGCCCCAAGCCAUUAGGCUGAGGGCACGUUUGCCUGGGCGUCACGC